CAACUUUCAGCAACGGAUCUCUUGGCUCUCGCAUCGAUGAAGAACGCAGCGAAAUGCGAUAAGUAAUGUGAAUUGCAGAAUUCAGUGAAUCAUCGAAUCUUUGAACGCACCUUGCGCUCCUUGGUAUUCCGAGGAGCAUGCCUGUUUAAGUGUCAUUA
rnacentral:rRNA from 1 species